GCUUGACCUCAGACCUGGCUGAUUUUAUUGCUUUCACCCAAUGACCACUGGAGCAUCGGUAGGACUUGCCACUACUCUGAUUGACCAGCUCCUGUGCCAUGGGACUGCGCUCUGUCGAAUGUGGACUUCAUCCCACAAUCUUACACUGAAGAAAAAAGAGCUACAAAGAAUAAUGAUCCAUGAAUUCUAGAGAGGGACACGGUUCCUCGGCUGGACUCCUUUUUCUAAGAGGCAUGUGCAGUCAUCUAACAGCUAUGAGUCAGCUGAAUGUGGUGGAAGUGUAUAUUGUGGGAUGUGUCAUGGUUACCAUGGCAUACAGUGAGCAAAGGAGCACAAGCAUGAGGGAGCACAGGUCCCCUAAUGGCAGGCACAGGUAAAUGAAGAACAAUUAAGAACUGUUGGAAUGAUUCACCUAAGUGGGAAGAGCGGUUCCACACUCUCAGGUCUGUAUAU